AAUUCUUGGAGAGAGGAGUAGGUCGGUUCUUUAAGUUCGAACCUCUAUAAAUUUAUGGCGUUGUCUCUCUUCCCUUAACUUUUUACUUUCCGCUUUUUUUAUCCUUACUUUCAGCUUCAUAUCCAAAUGGUUUUUAGAAAAUGUUUCCAAAUGUUUAUUUAGAAAAUAAUUUUGUUUUAAACCAUCAUUUUUCAAACCUCCACAAUUCACCCUCUCUCUUGU
rnacentral:lncRNA from 1 species